CAGAGGUCCCAAGCGUUGUUCGGAUUCACUGGGCGUAAAGGGUGCGUAGGUGGUAAGGUAAGUCGGAUGUGAAAGCUCCGAGCUCAACUCGGAAAUGGCAUUGGAAACUACCUUGCUAGAGGGUUUGAGGGGGGACUGGAAUACUUGGUGUAGCAGUGAAAUGCGUAGAUAUCAAGUGGAACACCAGUGGCGAAGGCGAGUCCCUGGAAAACUCCUGACACUGAGGCACGAAAGCUAGGGGAGCAAACAGGAUUAGAUACCCUGGUAGUCCUAGCCGUAAACGGUGCGUAUUCGCUGUAAAAGGAAUCGACCCCCUUUUGUGGCGUAGCCUAACGCGUUAAAUACGCCGCCUGGGAAGUACGGUCGCAAGAUUA
rnacentral:rRNA from 1 species